rnacentral:rRNA from 1 species
UAAGGAAUAUUGGUCAAUGGACGCAAGUCUGAACCAGCCAUGCCGCGUGAAGGAUGAAGGUCCUCUGGAUUGUAAACUUCUUUUAUCUGGGACGAAAACGGGAUUUUUAUCUCAAUUGACGGUACCAGAGGAAUAAGCACCGGCUAACUCCGUGCCAGCAGCCGCGGUAAUACGGAGGGUGCGAGCGUUAUCCGGAUUUACUGGGUUUAAAGGGUGCGUAGGUGGGCUUAUAAGUCAGUGGUGAAAUCUCCGAGCUUAACUUGGAAACUGCCGUUGAUACUAUAGGCCUUGAAUUAUCUGGAGGUAAGCGGAAUAUGUCAUGUAGCGGUGAAAUGCUUAGAUAUGACAUAGAACACCAAUUGCGAAGGCAGCUUACUACAUAUAAAUUGACGCUGAGGCACGAAAGCGUGGGGACCAAACA